UACAGAGGUCCCAAGCGUUGUUCGGAUUCACUGGGCGUAAAGGGUGCGUAGGCGGUUUGAUAAGUCUGAUGUGAAAUCCCGCAGCUUAACUGCGGAACUGCAUUGGAAACUAUUUGACUAGAGGAAUGGAGGGGAGACUGGAAUACUUGGUGUAGCAGUGAAAUGCGUAGAUAUCAAGUGGAACACCAGUGGCGAAGGCGAGUCUCUGGGCAGUAACUGACGCUGAGGAGCGAAAGCAUGGGGAGCGAACAGG
rnacentral:rRNA from 1 species